UUUUUUUUGUUUCUUGAUUUAGUUCACGAUAAAGUUUCACAGUCUUCACACUUCCAUUUUAUAGUGUGUUUUUCCCCUGUUUUCUGUUUAGUUAGUGUACAAUAAAUAAUCACAGUCAAUACACUUCCAUUUUAUUGGUUUUGAGUUCGAGCAAUUAGAAAUUUUAGAUUUUAACAUGUCCUGUGGUGUUGUUUGCUAGUUUGUACAACUGCAGUGAAUGCAUUUUAUUAAUACACGAACAUCACUUGAUAAGUUAGCAUUUCUUUCGUUUUUUUAAUGGUCUUUUAUUUAAGGGGUCUGACCAAAUAUCAAGCCAAAUAUCAGAGUCGUAUGGAACUUAAAUUGAAACUAAGAUAUGUGAAUUCAAAGGAAAAAAUAAGAUUAAAAAAUCAUAUUUUUUUUAUUUAGAUGGGUGUAGUCUUAAAUAGAAAAACAACUUGCAGCUUUUGCAUUUUAAAGUCUUAAAGUGCUGGAAAAUAAUGAAAAAGAAUAUAUAUACGUUGUAAAACUGAUUUUACUGUGGCACAGAUGAAAAUUUCACAGUCAAUGCAUUUCCAUUUUAUGUUUCUCGAAUCUGCAAUUUGAACAUAAGUUCAUUUGACUCAUAAUUCAGUAUUUUUUUUAUUUUUUUUUUUAAAUCAGUUCACAUUUCCCUGUCUCAAUUUUAUAAAGGCUUAUGAUAGGUGUCUGAGCUUGAUUGAGCUUGAUUAACAAGUGAAAAUGUAUGUUUAUUAUUAAAAGACAGCAUUUCUAUGUUUCGUAUACAUGUACAUUAUAUAUUACUCAACUUGUUUACUGCAACGGGAUUGAAUUUGGUUAUAUCCAAUUUACAAAAAUGUCUUUACAAUUUCAAGCUUUAAACAAAAUCACUUGGAAUGUUUAUUUUUAAAAUGUAUUUUUAUAUUAACCUGUUGUCUUGUAAACAGCAUGCACUUGUUGAAGAAAAUGGCACAAUAUUACCAUGCAAAGCUUGUAAAACCAUAAUGCAGUCAAACUUGUUUUCUCUUCUUUUUUUAAGAAAAAAGUGUAUUUGUCAGCAACUAUUGAAAUAUCAUAAAAUGUAAUCUAAUUAAGUUAAAGUUGUAUGAAAAAUUCACAAUAUUAUAAAAACUACAUUGAUAACUCUUAUUAAAAUUUGAUUUCUGUAAAUUCAGAAAAUUUACAGCACUGGUACUUAAAUUAUAAAUAUCUGUAAUAAAGACCAUUACAUGGCUUUAGUUCAAUCCAGGCCUUGCAGUCAUAUGUUUGAUUUCAUGUAUUGAGCAUGAUUUUUGUGCUCCAAGCAAUGAGCAUGAUUUUUGAGCUCCAAGCAAUGAGCAAAGUUUUAUGACGUCAACCCCAGACUUCAGUAUCUAAAAGAAAAUGUCCGCCUUCAGUAUUAUGACAUGUUACUGUACCUUUUAUCUGUUGCAGAACAAUCAUUGACAUUGUACUUCUGUAUGAAAUAUUUGUUUCAAAAUUCGUACCAAAAGAGAUAAUUGACAGCUAAUAAAUUUCUUACAAAAAUCAGUUUGUAUAGGGAAAAAUCAAUGGACAUAAAAUCAGAAAUAUUUCUUUUUAAGAUUCUUCAAUUAUCAUGUUAGAUAGUUGGGGGAAAUAGCCUUGUCUUUUUUCAGUGUAAGUUAGUCUGAUUUUAUAUAAUUUCUGAAAUUAAAAUUUAUUUUUAUUAUUCAUAAAUGUUAUUUGGUCUGCUUUGCAUUAUUUAAAACUGGCAUUUUUAUUCAUGUUAUAAAAGUAUUUAAGAAG
rnacentral:lncRNA from 1 species